rnacentral:rRNA from 1 species
GACGAACGCUGGCGGCGUGCUUAACACAUGCAAGUCGAACGGAAAGGCCCUGCUGUUGUGGGGUGCUCGAGUGGCGAACGGGUGAGUAACACGUGAGUAACCUGCCCUUGACUUUGGGAUAACUGCAGGAAACUGGGGCUAAUACCGGAUAGGAGCUCCUGCUGCAUGGUGGGGGUUGGAAAGUUUCGGCGGUUGGGGAUGGACUCGCGGCUUAUCAGCUUGUUGGUGGGGUAGUGGCUUACCAAGGCUUUGACGGGUAGCCGGCCUGAGAGGGUGACCGGCCACAUUGGGACUGAGAUACGGCCCAGACUCCUACGGGAGGCAGCAGUGGGGAAUAUUGCACAAUGGGCGGAAGCCUGAUGCAGCAACGCCGCGUGCGGGAUGACGGCCUUCGGGUUGUAAACCGCUUUCGCCUGUGACGAAGCGUGAGUGACGGUAAUGGGUAAAGAAGCACCGGCUAACUACGUG